rnacentral:lncRNA from 1 species
AAGAAUGCUAGACUUGCGUACUUUUUGGGAUGGAGGGGGUAGAAUGGAGUAUCAGGAACCCAACAAAAUUUAUUUUUCAUUUUUACCUUUUUUUCUAUGAUUUUAUAUGGAUUUUCAAAGUUUCACCUCGGAUUUACAAAUAAUACUAAUAUACACUUCGGCUCAGUUCUAUUUCUACUGUGAUCUACCUACUCAACCCCAAAACAAAGGUAGGCAGACAAGUGGGGCCCGAGGUCAACUUGACCCAGGCCAAGUCAUGGCCGGUUCCUGCCGACUUUGACCGGCGGUUCCUCGUCGGCGAGGGGAGCGGCGCCAGCGUGACUAGCACUCUGCGGCGCACGUGUAACCCCACUUUCCCCUACCAGACGCCAGCCAGAACAUGGCCAGCGGCGAGCGACGGCAUGGGCGAACGGGCGGCGCGCCACACCGACAGCCACAGCGGCGGAGAAAGGGAGGUGAUGAGCGCUGCAGCACUAGGGGAUCAUCAUGGCUCGGUUUGUGCGGUUGGUUGUCGAAGAUGAUGGCCGGAGAGUGGUCGUCAGCGUGCGGGCGAAGCUUGGAGCGGCGGUGGGAAUGGAGGCCGCGAGAUUUGAAAUUCCAGGUGGAGAAGUGGUUGGAGCUCUGCAAGGAGUGGUGGAGGGUGGAGUCUAGGAGGUGGUGGAGUUUCGUGUGGAGGCGUUUUGGUUGUGGUGGGGUGGUGCGGACGAAUUUGGCCGGCACAACUGCAUAGCUCGGCACGGUUCGUGCACGUCUGGAGCAAGAAGAAGAAAGGAAGAGAGAGGGAGAAAGCGAGACCGGCGUAGUGGGAUUCUAGGAGAGGAUAAGGCUGAGGUGUUGGCGUCCAUGCAAGGUCGAGCAGU